rnacentral:rRNA from 1 species
GUCCUUUUGUUAUUUAUUUAAGGUCUGGCCUGCCCAAUGAUUAUUUUAAUGGCUGCGGUAUAUUGACCGUACAAAGGUAGCAUAGUCAUUUGUCUUUUAAUUGAAGGCUUGAAUGAAGGGUUGGACGAGAAUUAAGCUUUCUUAAAUAUAAUUUGUUGAAUUUAAUUUUUUAGUUAAAAAGCUAAAAUUUUUUUAUAGGACGAGAAGACCCUAUAGAACUUUACAUAUUUUUUUAUAAUAAUUAUUUGGUUUAUUUUUAAUUUUUAUAUUAUUAUUUGUUUUGUUGGGGUGACAGUAAAAUUUAAAUAACUUUUACUUUUUUUUAUCAAUAAUUAUUGUUUUUUUGAUCCAUAAAUUUUGAUUAUAAGAUUAAGUUACCUUAGGGAUAACAGCGUUAUUUAUUUGGAGAGUUCUUAUUGAUAAAUAAGUUUGCGA